UUCCAAUAUUACUAACCAGCUGUUUAAGAGUUCUAUUUCAUUGAUUCUUUUGUAUUUGGUCAUCAAUAUGCCCUUUUCCAUUUUUAUUUGCCAUACAACUUGCGCAAUAAUCUUCUGGAUCUUGGGAAUAUUAGUUGUUUUCCAGUUACGUGCAAUAAACAACUUGGCCGCUGUUAUAAUAUGUAAGAUUAUUAUUAAGGCUUUCUUUUCUAAUUUUGUCCAAUUCAAGUUUAAAAGGAUUAAUUCUGGUUCACAUUUGAAUUUAAUUUUUGUAACAUAGUAGAUUAAUCUUAUUAUUCCUUUCCAAUAAUUGGCAAUCAUUCCGCACUGCCACCAUAUGUGGUUUUAACUUCCAGUGCCCCUAUUACAUCUCCAACAAUUUAUAGAAAUAUCCGGAGAAAUCUUUGAAAGUACCUUCUGUGUAAGAUACCACCUAUUCGACAAUUUAAAAUGAACAUCUGUCAAAUUUAAGCAAUGGAUGUGCUCGUAUAGUUUUUUAAGCGAGUUUUCUCCGUGGGUUAUGGGCACUGGGCAUGGCACAUUUGUUUGUUUUUUAAGCAAGUUUGUUUGAUGAGCAUGUUGCUAUAAUCUUUUUUUAUUAUUCUUUGCUCCUACGUCUAUCUAGCUAUUUUGAAGGGCGAGAGGCUUUUUAACUUAAUUCCUGCCAGUUCCUUUUGUCUGGCAUUAGACCUACUAUUAUAAUUUUUCCUCUCAUCCUCAUACUUUGCUAGCAUUUGUCUCCCAGGUAUAUAUUAAGGUUAUAGGUUCAUAUACUCCUAUCCUCUAUCUAGGUUAUGUGGUAUCUUACUUCUACCAUACAUUAAUAUGUCUCUAGAUACUUAGGAAAAAUUUUAUCUUGUUUGAACGACAUCUAUUAUGGUUUUUCUUUAGGGAUAAGCAGUUUCUACUGUGCCCUUUUGGACAGUGCAGGCUAUUAUAAUUUGUUCCUAAUACCUAUUAACCAUACAGGUUAUGUUUUUUACCGGGAUAUACCUUUUCUUUAUUUAGCAGACUCUAUACAGUAUAUGGUCUAGCAGAGUUCUCACACUGAGAGCCAACUUAAAGGAACACUAUAGUCACCUAAAUUAC